rnacentral:lncRNA from 12 species
UGUGUCCCAGUGUACCCAGGUGUAGUCAGGUGUGCCCAGGUGUGCCCAGGUGUGCCCAGGUGUGCCCAGGUGUGGUCCACCUGUGCUCAGAUGUGUCCCAGGUGUGCCCAGCUGUACCCAGCUGUAUCCAGGUGUGCCCUGGUGUGCCCAGGUGUAUCUCAGGUAUACCCAGGUGUCCCCAGGUGUACCCAGGUGUACUCACCUGUAACUCAGGUGUACCCAGGUGUACUCACCUGUACCCUGCUGCGCCCCGCUGCACUCACCUGUAACCCAGGUGCACUCACCUGUAAGCCAGGUGCACUCACCUGUACUCACCUGUAACCCAGGUGUACUCACCUGUAACCCAGGUGUAGUCACCUGUACUCACCUGUAACCCAGGUGUACUCACCUGUAACCCAGGUGUAGUCACCUGUACUCACCUGUAACCCAGGUGUACUCACCUGUAACCCAGGUGUAGUCACCUGUACUCACCUGUAACCCAGGUGUACUCACCUGUAACCCAGGUGUAGUCACCUGUACUCACCUGUAACCCAGGUGUACUCACCUGUACUCACCUGUAACCCAGGUGUACUCACCUGUAACCCAGGUGUAGUCACCUGUACUCACCUGUAACCCAGGUGUACUCACCUGUACUCACCUGUAACCCAGGUGUACUCACCUGUAACCCAGGUGUAGUCACCUGUACUCACCUGUAACCCAGGUGUACUCACCUGUACUCACCUGUAACCCAGGUGUACUCACCUGUAACCCAGGUGUAGUCACCUGUACUCACCUGUAACCCAGGUGUACUCACCUGUACUCACCUGUAACCCAGGUGUACUCACCUGUAACCCAGGUGCCCCCCCCCCCCCCCCCCCCCCCCCCCCCCCCCCCCCCCCCCCCCCCCCCCCCCCCCCCC